rnacentral:rRNA from 1 species
CAGUUCGGUCCCUAUCCGGCGCGGGCGUAGGAUAUCUGAGAGGAGCUGUCCUUAGUACGAGAGGACCGGGAUGGACGGACCGCUGGUGUAUCAGCUGCAUCGCCAGAUGCAUAAGGCUGGGUAGCCACGUCCGGAAGGGAUAAACGCUGAAGGCAUCUAAGCGUGAAGCCCCCCUCAAGAUGAGAUAUCCCUGCUUCGGCAGUAAGACCCCUUGGAGAGUACGAGGUUAGAUAGGCACAAGGUGUAAGCACGGUAACGUGUUCAGCUGAUGUGUACUAAUAGGUCGAGGGCUUAUCCA